rnacentral:rRNA from 1 species
GACGACCACAGGCGGCGUGCUUAACACAUGCAAGUCGAACGGAAAGGCCCUGCUUUUGUGGGGUGCUCGAGUGUCGAACGCGUGAGUAACACGUGAGUAACCUGCCCUUGACUUUGGGAUAACUUCAGGAAACUGGGGCUAAUACCGGCUAGGACCACCUGCUGCAUGGCGCGGGUUGGACAGUUUCGGCGGUUGGGGAUGGACUCGCGGCGUAUCAGCUUGUUGGUGGGGUAGUGGCUUACCAAGGCUUUGACGGGUAGCCGGCCUGAGAGGGUGACCGGCCACAUUGGGACUGAGAUACGGCCCAGACUCCUACGGGAGGCAGCAGUGGGGUAUAUUGCACAAUGGGCGGAAGCCUGAUGCAGCAACGCCGCGUGCGGGAUGACGGCCUUCGGGUUGUAAACCGCUUUCGCCUGUGACGAAGCGUGAGUGACGGUAAUGGGUAAAGAAGCACCGGCUAAAUACGUG